AAUGAACGUUGGCGGCGUGGAUUAGGCAUGCAAGUCGAGCGCUCAUAGCAAUAUGGGAGCGGCGAACGGCGUAGUAAGACGUAGGAACGUACCCUCGGGUCGGGGGAUAGCUAUGGGAAAACUGUAGGUAAUACCCGAUAAUCUCUGCGGAGCAAAGGUGUGAUUCCGCCUGAGGAGCGGCUUACGCGAUAUUAGCUAGUUGGUGGGGUAAUGGCCUACCAAGGCGAUGAUGUCUAGGGGGUGUGAGAGCAUGGCCCCCACGACCGGAACUGAGAUACUGUCCGGACACCUACGGGUGGCUGCAGUCGAGAAUCUUCCGCAAUGGACGAAAGUCUGACGGAGCGACGCCACGUGCGGGAUGAAGGCCCUUGGGUUGUAAACCGCUGUCAGAGGGGAUGAAGUCUUCGGAGGUACUCCUCCGAAGUUGACAGAGCCUCAAAGGAAGCACGGGCUAAGUACGUG
rnacentral:rRNA from 1 species